rnacentral:rRNA from 1 species
GACGAACGCUGGCGGCGUGCUUAACACAUGCAAGUCGAACGGUGAAGCGCCUUCCUUUUUGGUGGGUGUGGAUGAGUGGCGAACGGGUGAGUAACACGUGAGUAACCUGCCCCCUUCUUCUGGAUAACCGCAUGAAAGUGUGGCUAAUACGGGAUAUUCUGGGUCUGUCGCAUGAUGGGUCUGGGAAAGAUAUUGUUUCGGUGGGGGAUGGGCUCGCGGCCUAUCAGCUUGUUGGUGGGGUGAUGGCCUACCAAGGCGGUGACGGGUAGCCGGCCUGAGAGGGUGGACGGUCACACUGGGACUGAGACACGGCCCAGACUCCGAGGGGAGGCAGCAGGGAGGAAUAUUGCACGAUGGGCGGAAGCCUGAUGCAGCGACGCCGCGUGAGGGAUGGAGGCCUUCGGGUUGUGAACCUCUUUCGCCAGUGAAGCAGGGCUGCCUCGUUUGUGGGUGGGUUGACGGUAGCUGGAUAAGAAGCGCCGGCUAACUACGUG